AGACAGACAUCACUCUUUAGAAUCCCUGCAACUUUGAGCAAGUUCGUGAAUCUCACUAAGGCUCAGUUUCCUCCAUAAAAUUAAUCAAUAUCAGGGCCUCUGCAUUGGACAACUCCAGAGGGCACCAUUGGGGUUAUACCUUGUGUUUGCCUAACCUUCAUUGCAGUGGGCAGGUGCAUGCUUUCUACAAUGUCCUAAGGUCUAAAGGGGUAGAGUUCUGUGUGUGGCAUUUUAGGCCUGGAAAGGAUGAGAGUCUACAAAACCAGAGAAAUACUGCAGAGCUCCUAAAGUCCUUGGAAUGUCCUAAGUGGUGAGUUUAUGCUAAAGAGGUAACUUUUGGAAAACCUCUAAGGAUGGGGGGCUGGUUGCCAGGGGAGCCAACCAUGUGAUUAGAAGGUUGGAACUUUCACCACCCACCACCCUGACCUCCAGGGAAGGGAAAGUGGCUGGAAGUUGACUUAAUUUGCAAUGGGCAAUGAUUUCAUCAAUCACGUCUAUGUAAUGAAGCCUCCACAAGAAAAAAAUCUUAACAGAAGACCUUCAGAGAGCUUCCAGGUUGCUGACCACAUGGAGGUCAUGCCCAGAGAGGGUGUGAAAGCUCCACACCCCUUUUCCAUACCUUGCCCUACUUAUCUCUUCCAUCUGGCUGUUUCUAAGUUGCAUCCUUUAUAUUAAAGCAAUAAUGUUGUAAAUGAACUUUCUCUGAGUUCUGUGACCCAUUCUAGCAAAUGGUCAAACCCAGGAGGGAAUGGUAUGAACCUCUGGUUUACAGCCAUUGGUAAGAAGCACACAUGACAACCUGGACUUUCCAUCAACAUUUGAAGCGGGAGCAGUCUUGUGGGAUCAAGCUCUUAACCUGUGGGGUCUGCUACUAACUCUGAGAUCCCAGACCACCACCCAUGAUCCCAGGCUGGAGGAAGCAGCAGGCUAGCGGAAUUCAGGACCAAUGAGCCAGGAAAGAGGACCCAAUGCAGAGCUCACAUCCCACCCUCCUUCCCCCAUGACAAAGCACUGGCAAACCCUGCCAAAGAAGAAGCUUGGCUGCAAAGCAGUCUGGAACUGGACCCGGGAUAGAUUCACCAGGAGCUCACCACCACAGGGAAUGCUGCACUUUGACUGGACAGAAUGCAUCCUCCAUGCCCACAGAGCAUGUGCCCAGGAUGAAUCUCACUGUAUCCCAGUUCCUCAUGCUUGGCCCCAAACCUCUUUUUCACAGUAAUAAAGAAAACACACUUUACAAAAA
rnacentral:lncRNA from 1 species